rnacentral:tRNA from 1 species
ACGGGCGUAGCUCAAUUGGUAGAGUAGCGGUCUCCAAAACCGUUGGCUGGGGGUUCGAGUCCCUCCGCCCGUGCAA